rnacentral:ncRNA from 1 species
CAAAGGCUUGGUCCUGACUUUUCUAUCAGCUUUAGCCCAAUUUACACAUGCAAGUCUCCGCAAGCCCGUGAGGAUGCCCUCAAUCCCCCGCCCGGGGACGAGGAGCAGGCAUCAGGCACAACUUUUGCCCAAGACGCCUUGCCAAGCCACACCCCCAAGGGAAUUCAGCAGUGAUAAAUAUUAAGCCAUAAGUGAAAACUUGACUUAGUUAGAGCUAAGGAGGGCCGGUAAAACUCGUGCCAGCCACCGCGGUUAUACGAGAGGCCCUAGUUGAUAAGCACGGCGUAAAGGGUGGUUAAGGUGAAAAAAGCAAUAAAGCUAAAGAGCCUUUUGGCCGUCAUACGCCUCUGAACGCUCGAAACCCAAUUACGAAAGUAGCUUUAAUCUCAACCCACCUGACCCCACGAAAACUGAGAAACAAACUGGGAUUAGAUACCCCACUAUGCUCAGCCGUAAACCUAGAUGUUUUUUCACAAUAAACAUCCGCCAGGGUACUACUAGCAUCAGCUUAAAACCCAAAGGACUUGGCGGUGCCUUAGACCCCCCUAGAGGAGCCUGUUCUAGAACCGAUAACCCCCGUUAAACCUCACCACUUCUAGUCACCCCCGCCUAUAUACCGCCGUCGUCAGCUUACCCUGUGAAGGACUAACAGUAAGCAAAAUGAACUCAAUUCAAAACGUCAGGUCGAGGUGUAGCGAACGAAGUGGGAAGAAAUGGGCUACAUUUUCUAACUCAGAAUAUUACGAACAGCAUUAUGAAACUAAUACUUAAAGGAGGAUUUAGUAGUAAAAAGGAAAUAGAGUGUCCUUUUGAACCCGGCUCUGAGGCGCGUACACACCGCCCGUCACUCUCCCCGCCCCAUAGCGAUUCACGUUCAUAACACUAAAGCACAAACAAGGGGAGGCAAGUCGUAACAUGGUAAGUGUACCGGAAGGUGUACUUGGAUCAAAC